UAACUUCGGCUUUUGUGGAAUUAUCGGCCAAUGCUAUUGAUAUGGUAGCAAAUACAACUCUAAUGCAACUUUUCAAAGAAUAGGCUUGACAAUAUGCAAUCAUAACUGUGCCACUUGUCGCGCCCCAUUUUUUAUAAGAAAAAUAAAUGGUUUAAAAAAAGUGAAUUUUGAUUUAAAAAGAAAAUGAAGAAAAGUAUGGGUCUAAUGGGACAUGAAAAUGCGACGAUUUGACCCAAAAUAUAGUUUAAAAAGGGUUUAUUAAAUGAAAAAUGGAGUCGCCACUUGGUAUAGAGUUAAGGUGUACCAAGUCACCUAAAAAUGAAAAUUUAUAAGAGAAAAAUGGAAAAAAACCCCUUUUAAACGACUCCAAAUCUACGUAAACCAACGAAAAAGGUUCGGGAGUCACAUUUGACGAAGGGGAAGGCAAGGAUAAAAAUCCAAGACACCCCUUCGACCUAACCAAGGCUAGUUGCGUGAUUUAGUCAAAGAUUUUCUUGUUUUAACCAAAAAAUUAUCACAUUUGGAUGUACUAUAUGAAUGCAAACCUUAAACCUAGGGGGAUGUCGGGGGGCAAAAUUUCUCUUCAAAGCUUGAAUGGUGCCAAUCACAUUAAUUGUGACGCCCAAUAAUGACUCUUUGGAGAGGUCACGAAUAAUGCAAGUCAUGAGACUCGAAAGAAAGGAAAAGUGAAGAAUAUAAUAAUAUGCAAAUGCGUAUGACCUAAAGGAAUGCAUCAUAAUGGGUGCGGGGACUUACACUUGUGACUUUCAAUGUUCCCUUUAAUAGAGGGAAUACGAGCGUGCUAAGACUAGAAAAAGCCAAACUCGUCCAUAUCCCAUAUCCAAGGGAUUUUUCCUAAUCUAAUCAAGCAAAUGUACUAGCCUAGGUCUAAUGCUUAGAUGAAAUGCAAGUCUAAUGUCAUGGUUCAUACAAAGGGGUAAGUAAUAUACAAAUAAGGGAAAAUACGGGAAAAGGGAUAUACGUAUAAGGAGGGAUAUCAUGCAAAAAUGAUAAAAGACCCUAAAAAGUGAAAAAUAUGCAUGAGAAUGUAAUGUAGUCAUGCAAACAUGAUCUAGCGUCGGAGGUUCCUAAGGGUCUAGCGUUGGACUAGCCCAUAUCUAUGAAUUUCUACUAGCAUUGGACUAGUGGAAAAUCGGAAUGAAGGGCCACAACUAGCGUUGGACUAGUGUGAUGACGUCACACAUUCAUUACAAUCAAAUAAAUCAUGUAAAGUCUAAUAAAGCAAAUAAACACGUAAAUCACAUAUAGCACAUAACACAUAAGCAUGGUGUCUAGAUGCAAGACCCUAGAAAAGCGAGUAACACAUAACACAUAGGCAUGCAAAAACACACAAGGCAAAUAAAGCAAAUAAAACCCUAACUAUUACAUUCGGGGAACCCUACUACAAUCUAAAAGGGGAAAUAAAAUAAAUAAUAAAA
rnacentral:lncRNA from 1 species